rnacentral:rRNA from 1 species
GAGUUUGAUCAUGGCUCAGAUUGAACGCUGGCGGCAUGCCUUACACAUGCAAGUCGAACGGCAGCAUGAUCUAGCUUGCUAGAUUGAUGGCGAGUGGCGAACGGGUGAGUAAUACAUCGGAACGUGCCCUGUAGUGGGGAGUAACUAGUCGAAAGAUUAGCUAAUACCGCAUACGACCUGAGGGUGAAAGUGGGGACCGCAAGGCCUCAUGCUAUAGGAGCGGCCGAUGUCUGAUUAGCUAGUUGGUGGGGUAAAGGCCCACCAAGGCGACGAUCAGUAGCUGGUCUGAGAGGACGAUCAGCCACACUGGGACUGAGACACGGCCCAGACUCCUACGGGAGGCAGCAGUGGGGAAUUUUGGACAAUGGGCGAAAGCCUGAUCCAGCAAUGCCGCGUGUGUGAAGAAGGCC